rfam:Hassallia byssoidea VB512170 scaffold_1, whole genome shotgun sequence.
GGGGUCGACCGGUUUUGACAGGAUGUGUGAAGCCGCAGGCCAGCAUGCAGGCUCAUGAGGGUAGAGCCUUAACCACUGCUCUCACAAUUUACGUGGCGAAAAUACUUACGCCAUGGCUGCUUAAUCUGACGAUACGUUAGGUUAGCCUCGCCCCGAUAAGAUCGGGGAAGCCAUCAUCGCUCAGUUCUUCGUUCUGCCGGAACUGGUGUAGCGGUGUCGAUAGCCAGGACUGCUCCGUGUGAUGUUGCUAAGCACGGCUAAGACUCAGUAGCUAAGGAAGCGUUUAGGCUGUUGCCUGCCUUGCGAUUCCCGAAAAACAAAGUCAACUAAGCAUGUAGAAUCUGUUGUUUUAUCUUCUCUGGACGAGGGUUCAAUUCCCUCCGACUCCACAU